AUGCAGCACAGGGUUGAACCCUGGAGGGGCCGCUGGCUGUCGAAGGCCGCCAGGGUGAUCCUUAUCAAUUCCUCGCUGGCGAGCCUCCUCUGGUUCCUCUUGAGCUUCUACUGCCUUCAUGAGACCCUCCACCAGGAGGUGGACAAAUACCAAUCGAGGUUCUUCUGGGCUGGCGAGGAUGGCAAACAGAAGUACCACAUGGUGGGCUGGUCCGACAUUUGCAAGCCCAAAGACCAGGGGGGCCUUGGGAUCCUCUCUUCCCGACGCAUGAACAUUUCCCUCCUGACUCGCUGGCUGUGGCGUAUUGCCAACGGGGAGGGAGGCCUCUGGCUCACCAUCAUCCGCAAUAAAUACCUUCGUGGCCAACCUCUCGCCUUUUGCCAACGUACGGGCGGUUCCCAGUUCUGGCAGUCUGUGAUCCAGCUCCUGCCCGUACUACGCAUUGGCACCUCUAUAUCUGUUGGCUCCAGAGCCUCGACCCUGUUUUGGUUCGACCAUUGGCUAGGGGACGCCCCCCUGGCGGUGCGUUUCCCUAGCUAUUUGCCAUUGCGGUUGACCCUCGAGUCUCGAUCGAGACGGCCCUUAUUGACUUAG
rnacentral:rRNA from 1 species